rnacentral:misc_RNA from 1 species
UGGAAGGUAUGCCUGUCUGAGAAUCACACCACCACUGAUCCGAUUGCACCCGUGCAGUUGGUCGACAUGGGCCUUCAGCACUGAUCGCCUCGAAUUGCUCGCGAUCGUCGUGGUAAUGGUGGCAGUGAUGCCGUCAGUGUUGUCGACGAUCAACCCGUGCUCGUGAUCUCAGAUCAGGCAAGGCUACCCGCUGAACUUAA